rnacentral:misc_RNA from 1 species
GCAGAAGGAGCCAAGGAAGCCUUGGAAGCUGAAAUAAGGAAAAUGAGGGUGCAGACAGAGCAAUGGAGAAAAGCAGCAGAUGCAGCAGCAGCAGUACUCGCUGGGGCAGUGGAGAUGAACAGUAGGAUUUCCGAGAGGUGUGGCUCCAUGGAUAAGCACUUUGGUGGUGUAUUCGUAACACCAGGUGGUGGUGGGUACACUAGUUUUGUGGGAUCACCAGGAAUGUCUGAUGACUAUGAUGAUGGUUUUGGAAGUGGAAAAAAGAAGGCC